rnacentral:lncRNA from 1 species
UAAAUUUACUAAGCGGAAACAUAAUAAUAAGGAAAUAAGAAUGAAUGCAAGUUUACAACAUGAUAAAUUUGAUGAAAGAAUUUGAAUUACAUAUCAUGACUAUGACUGACUAUCUAUGAAGCCUCUGCUAUACUGACUAUUUAUAGCUGGGACAUGCCUCUAACUUCCACUAAUUAAUACAUAUGAAUAAUAACAAUAUAUUACAUGAACUAUAGCUGACUGGAGUCCCUAAAAUAAUAGAAC